rnacentral:misc_RNA from 1 species
CCCCUACUGCAGUAGGCUAAGCGAAGUCAGCCUCAGGACUUGAAGCCAUCCCAGCCUCAUAGCCUCACUGUGGAUUUUCUUCCCAUGGGAUGGAAUUGAAAGCCAGUGCAAUAAGAUAAGGAUUUAAAGCCCCACCUUUGAUUUCCCCCUCUCCAUUGCCCAUGAACAGGCUCUAUCAACAAUACGCUAUAACCUUCACCUGCGACUCCGAAAACUUUCUUGGGUCCUUGUAUUUUCUUCUCUUUUCUUUUUAGACAUUAAUACUUGCUAAAGGUGUUUGAGGUGAAUGGAGAGCUUAUUUUAAAGCAGCUUUUCAAUUCAAGUAAACAUGACAACCAUUGUCCCAAGUUCUACAAGCACUGUUUCUCUCAUUCAUGGAACUGCCUUUACAAUAAAGAAAAAUAAUCGCCUCACAAAAUGCAGUUUGUCAAGGAAAUCUUCAAAGCUUACACUAUCCUCA